rnacentral:lncRNA from 1 species
GUUCAGCAUUUGAUUUAAUUUUGAAAGUGAAUCACCUCCACCUGAAGAUGCCCCUCUAUACCCCCAUUCACCUGGAUCUCAGUAUCAGCAGAAUAACCACGUGCAUGGACAGCCGUAUACUGGCCCAGCAGCACAUCACAUGAACAACCCUCAGAGAACUGGCCAAUGAGCACAAGAAAAUUAUGAAGGCAGUGAAGAAGUGUCCCCACCUCAGACCAAGGAUCAGUGAAAUGCACAUAAUGAACUGGCUCCAUCAAGACUGUGCACCCAGGCCUUACAGUCCAACAUUUUUCUGUGUCUGCUUCCUGCUGAUGUCCAUCCUGGGAGAUAGAUGACAAUAACUCAACUAAUUGUGUCCCUGCCAUAUAUAUGGGUUCAGGUCCUGGUUUUUUAGUUUGGCCUCAGUCCAGCUUCAGUUGUCAUAACUUUGAGGAAUAAACCAGAGGAUGAAAAUUAUCUGUCUGUCUUU